AGAGUUUGAUCCUGGCUCAGAACGAACGCUGGCGGCGUGCCUAACACAUGCAAGUCGAACGAGAAAGUUUCUUCGGAAACGAGUAAAGUGGCGCACGGGUGAGUAACACGUGAAUAAUCUGCCUUCGAGACUGGGAUAACUUGACGAAAGUUAAGCUAAUACCAGAUAAGACCACGCUUCACAAGGAGUGCGGGAAAAGGGAUCUCAAAUCCUGCUCGUAGAUGAGUUCGCGUACCAUUAGCUUGUUGGUGAGAUAAAAGCUCACCAAGGCGACGAUGGUUAGCCGGCCUGAGAGGGUGAUCGGCCACACUGGAACUGAGACACGGUCCAGACUCCUACGGGAGGCAGCAGUGGGGAAUCUUGCGCAAUGGGCGAAAGCCUGACGCAGCAACGCCGCGUGAGCGAUGAAGGCCUUCGGGUCGUAAAGCUCUGUCAAGUGGGAAGAACACAAUGACGGUACCACUAGAGGAAGCCCCGGCUAACUUCGUGCCAGCAGCCGCGGUAAUACGAAGGGGGCAAGCGUUGUUCGGAAUUAUUGGGCGUAAAGCGUAUGUAGGUGGUUUAUCAAGUCAGACGUGCAAGCCCUCGGCUCAACCGAGGAAUUGCGUUUGAAACUGAUAGACUUGAGUGUAGGAGAGGAAAGCGGAAUUCCCAGUGUAGCGGUGAAAUGCGUUGAUAUUGGGAAGAACACCGGUGGCGAACGCGGCUUUCUGGCCUGCUACUGACACUGAGAUACGAAAGCCAGGGGAGCAAAGGGGAUUAGAUACCCCCGUAGUC
rnacentral:rRNA from 1 species